rnacentral:rRNA from 1 species
AUGUACAGAGUUGUUCCUAUACAACAAAGCUUGCUGACGCCGGAAACAACGGCCUUGCCGCCGGUAGAGACCAUCCACCUGACGCCGUGGGAUCUGAAGUCUAUCACGGUGGAGCACAUCCAGAAGGGCGUCCUCCUGCCCAAGCCUCCCACUACUGGAGGACACGUCGACGUCGAGCGUCUAGCUUCUUCCUUUGGGCGCGCCAUUGGCCGCUUCUACCCAUACGCCGGGCGCCUCGACGCCGCUGUCGUGCCGGCUAGCAAUGACGGAGCGUCGCCUCAGUGCCAGAGCCUCACCAUUUCGCUCCGCUGCGGCGGCGAGGGCGCCGAGUUCAUCCACGCCGUGGCUCCCAGCGUCACCGUCGCCGACAUCACCGCCUCGCUCUUGGUUCCGCGGGUGGUGUGGUCCUUCUUCCCGCUCGACGGGCUGCUGGGUGCGGACGCCAUUGAGGGGUCGCUCCCGCUCCUGGCCGCACAGGUCACUGAGCUCGCCGACAGCGUCUUCAUCGCCGUUUCGAUGAACCACAGCGUCGCGGACCGUAUGACAUUCUGGCAAUUCUUCAACACCUGGUCCGAACUAAGCCGUGCCGGUGGGAACGACGAUGUUAUGAUCUCGACACCGUUGCCGGUGUUCGACAGAAGUUUCCUAGGCAGCUUCACCGUCCCCAUCCCUCUGCCCUUCGGCAAGCUGGAGGAUGUCGUGGGCCAGCGUGUACAUUUGUUCCCUUCUGUGCAGGAAUGCUUCCUCCAUUUCUCGGCGGCAAGUGUAAAGAAUCUCAAGACGAAGGCGAACGAUGAGAUGUCCGGCUACGGCAUCACUAGCACCAUCUUCUCGCUGCAGGCCCUGCUGGCGCACCUGUGGCGUGCCGUGUGUCGAGCCCGCCGACUUGCGCCGGACCAGGAGACAACGUACACUGUGCUUGUGGGAUGCCUUGGCCGCGUUGGCGGCAUACCAGCGUCCUAUGCGGGCAAUACAGUGGAGCACGGCACUGCCAAGUGUACAGCCCGUGAUAUCCUAGACAAGGGCCUUGGCUGGGCCGCAUGGCUCCUCAACGAGGCCGUGGCGUCGUUCGACACGGCCUACGCGAGCGACAAGCUAGCAUCCUGGCCCCAAGAGCCUAGGUUCAUGCGCCUGCCUGAGCUCGCCGCGGUUCGACAUGUAUGGGAACGACUUCGGAUGGGGCGCGCCGGUGACUGUUCGGAGCGGCGCAGGGAACAAGAUAGAUGGCAAGGCGACGGUGUACAAGGGCCGAGGCUGUGGAGGGAGCAUUGCUCUGGAGGUGUGCCUAGCCCCACAGGCGCUCGCUAG